UAUAAAAACGAACAAUUAAGGCUAUGGGCACAACAAUUGAAAAACAAUAGAUUUUUAUGUUAACAUUGCUUUCUAUUGUGAAUGUAUUAUACAGUAUAUUUGAAAAUUUGAUUCUUUAUAAUGAUUACAAUUGGUUCACAUUAGAUUUCAUUGUUACAUAGACAAAUAAUAGAUUAACAUUUGAAUUCAUUGUUACUUUUGGAUUCAGCGUUCAAACCAUUGGUUUACAAUAGAAUGUAUCAGCUACAUUGAAAUGUACCGUUUUUCAAUGGUCUGAACGUUUAAAAAAACCCUGCUUUUAAGUAAUUUCGAAACAGUGUGUAUCGAUGACAGCCAAGUUUUUUUGUUAUCAGUUUGGUCGUCGGCGGUAAAAUUUUUCGAAGUGCAGGUUCGUCUGCGGAAAAUGUGGAAAAUUCACGCUCAACUGCGUGAAUUUUCCGCACGGGAGUGAAUAUAGUGUGCGGUGCAGUGUAAAAGCAUACAACAGUAGCAGCAUUUCAACAGGAGUCGCAAGGACAUGAAGCCUGUGUAGGAGCAGUUAGCUCACAGCUUGUUCUAUCGCAUUGCGGUCGAAGGAAUGCGCACGAUUAGGACUGAUUGCUGCAUGGACGAGAACUAGGAGCGCUGAGAAGAGAACGGGGAUGCGGAAUGCUGGAUCAAGGAACUUUGUGGUUUUAUUUUGAAAGCACCGAUCGGUUCAGUAGUUUCCGAGUCUAUUAGGGUCAGACAGACAGACAUACAUUAGUAACUCAUUUUUAUAUAUAAAGAUAGAUAGAUGGAUACCAGGAUAGAUAGAUAUUUCAAUUUUACCAUUCUAAUUUGACUGCAUUUUUUCCUUUACAUCAAACUCGUUCAGUGAAACAUGUUAUUUUUGUGUUAUUUUUUUUUUAAUAUUGGUUCGCUCUUCAAACCUGGAACGCAUGUAUAGUUUAUUAUCAAAUGUGACGAAAUUGCAUGCAAUCAUUCGUAAAUAACAAACGACUCACAAAUGUACCAUUUGAACGCUUCUUUGAAUUUGAACGAUCUUCUAAUAUAGGUUCAAGCUGUAGUAUAUCGAGUAUUUUUAAGUGCUACAAAAAAGGUUAAGCACGCUGUAAUGUUACUUUUGUACCUCAUCACCCAAUAAAUGCAACUACAUUAGUGGACUAAUAACACUUAGCGCGCUUAGGCACGGUUCCAUCAUGCCGCUUAUAGUGUUGCCACAUAUAAUGCUUAGUCUGCUAAACCCAGUUAUCUGGCUGUGGGGCAUGGGAGCCAAAGCUUCAACCAUCAUUGCAAUUAAACAUUACUCGAUUUACUACAUGAGUGAUCCAAAUAUUUGAUAAUUGUUCGAUCUGUUUUUGAAAUGUAGCUUAAAUUAUACAAGAUUCUAGUCUAAAUACAUAAUAAUAGUUCAGUUUUGCUUCAUUCCGGAUUUGCUCAAGCAGUUUAUAUGUUUUGUUAAGUUAAACUUAGAGGUUGAAGUUAGAAUUGUCUGAUUCACAAUAGAAAACAAUUUCCAAACCAUUCGAUUUAAUGUAAAAAUAGUGCAAAACAAUAUGUUCUGCAUCACAAUAGACAACAAUUCCAAAACAAUUGAAUCUAACGUGGAGCCAGUAAUAAUGUCACUGCUCAAAGCAACACGUUUACUGUACAUUUCACUGUUUAGAACAAUUUAAAAACAUAAGAAUCUUCUGUAUCACAAUAGAAAACAAUUUCCACACCAUUGAAUCAAUUGUGGAACCAGUAGUAAAAUCACUAGUCAGAACAAUGCGUUUACCGUUCGUUUCACUGUUUGAAACAAUUCGAAAACAUAAGAAUCUUCUGUAUCACAAUAGGAAACAAUACCCAAACAAUUGAAUUCAAUGUAAAAACUACAAACUGUAUGUUCUGCUUCACAAUAGAAAACGAUUUCAAAACAAUUGAAUCAAAUGUGGAACCAGAAAUAAAAUCACUACCCAAAACAA